AUGUGCAUCCUGUACACACAUUCAUAGAAGUAUAUUUUCGCAGACCUACGGUAUGCGACUGUUCCACUGACUGCUAUGUCUGGGAUUGAACAUCUAUACAAUACUGUCACGCUUUACUGAUCACUUAAUUCAUUGCCUUUUUUUCUACCUAUUCUUUUAAUUUUUUAUUUUAUAAGAGAUGUUCAUUUUUUUUACUACUGCAAAUGUGCCUAAAAGCUUUCAUCUCUGGGCUUUAACCAGAGAGUGAGUGAUCAGUAUUAUAUUUAAAACAAAUAACUGAAGAGAUGCACUUCCUGAUGCUCAACCUGAGAUUAUGUGACUAGUAAAGCUCCCCUCUGUGUGUGUGUGUGUGUGUGUGUGUGUGUGUGUGUGUGUGUGUGUGUGUGUGUGUGUGUGUGUGUGUGUGUGUGUGUGUGUGUGUGUGUGUGUGUGUGNNNNNNNNNNCGCUGGACUGGUUGAGGAUUGGCCCUCUCUGAACAACCACAAGCCACAAGGGGAAGCCUCGGCCCUUCCUCUUUUAAUGUCUGUUCAAAGUGACGUGUGUUGUUACUGAUCAACCCUUUUUGAUUUCCUGUCCUGAUGAUGAUGAUGAUAUAUUUGUGUAUGAUGAUGAGGGAGAACUGAGCUCCACCUUGCUGCAGACCCCCCUUGGGGGCGCCCCCGUCUCCCUCUGCUGGUCGUUGUUAGGUUACCUUUUCUCCCCCGCUUUCUCCCAGCUGUUCCUUGUCUCCUCUAACUACCCAUUCACCCCGUUUCCCACCUGUUCCCUUUUUCCCUCUGAUUAGGUCCCUAUAUCUCUCUCUGUUUCUGUUCCUGUCCUUGUCGGAUUCUUGUUUGUGUUUCAUGCCUGAGCCAGACUAUCGUCAUGUUUGCUGUAACCUUGUCCUGUCCUGUCGGAAUCUGCCGGUCUAUCUGAGCCUACCUAUGUUUGGUUAUUAAAGAAGCUCUGUUUAAGUUAGUUCGCUUUUGGGUCCUCAUUCACUCACCAUAACAGAAGAAUCCGACCAAGAAUGGACCCAGCGACUUCGGAUCCUCUCCACUCAGCCGUCGGGAUCCAGG
rnacentral:lncRNA from 13 species